rnacentral:rRNA from 1 species
ACCUACGGGGUGCAGCAGUGAGGAAUAUUGGUCAAUGGUCGGGAGACUGAACCAGCCAAGCCGCGUGAGGGAUGAAGGUACAGAGUAUCGUAAACCUCUUUUGUCAGGGAACAAAGGCAGGGACGCGUCCCCGGAUGAGUGUACCUGAAGAAAAAGCAUCGGCUAACUCCGCGCCAGCAGCCGCGGUAAUACGGAGGAUGCGAGCGUUAUCCGGAUUUAUUGGGUUUAAAGGGUGCGCAGGCGGUCUGUUAAGUCAGCGGUCAAAGCCCGGGGCUCAACCCCGGCCCGCCGUUGAAACUGGCAGU